CGGUAAUUCCAGCUCCAAUAGCGUAUACUAACGUUGUUGCAGUUAAAAAGCUCGUAGUUGGAUUUCUGAUUUUUGCCAAUGGUUGUGUCGCCGCGUGCGAGGCGCCUUGCGCAGAGGUCAACAUAUGCCACGAGCCAGUGUGAUCUAUUCAUUUAGGUCCACUGGGUAAUGACUCGUUUACUUUGAGAAAAUUAGAGUGUUCAAAGCAGGCAUUUGCCUUGAAUAUGUUAGCAUGGAAUAAUAGCAUAGGACUUCGGUUCUAUUUGUUGGUUGUUCGAGAACUGGAGUAAUGAUUGAUAGGGACGGUUGGGGGCAUCCGUAUUCUCAAGCGAGAGGUGAAAUUCUUGGACCUUGGGAAGACGAACAGCUGCGAAAGCGUUUGCCUAGGACGUUCUCUUUAAUCAAGAACGAAAGUUGGGGGAUCGAAGACGAUCAGAUACCGUCGUAGUCUCAACUAUAAACUAUGCCAGCUAGGGAUCGGUGGGUCUUUGUCACGAGUCCAUCGGCACCUUACGAGAAAUCAAAGCAUUUGGGUUCCGGGGGGAGUAUGGUCGCAAGGCUGAAACUUAAAGGAAUUGACGGAAGGGCACCACCAGGAGUGGAGCCUGUGGCUUAAUUUGACUCAACACGGGAAAACUUACCAGGUCCGGACAUAGUAAGGAUUGACAGAUUGAAAGCUCUUUCUUGAUUCUAUGGGUGGUGGUGCAUGGCCGUUCUUAGUUGGUGGAGUGAUUUGUCUGGUUAAUUCCGUUAACGAACGAGACCCGCGCCUGCUAAAUAGUCGGCCUCACUUCUGUGGGUGUUGUACUUCUUAGAGGGACCAUCCUGGGUAUACCGGAAGGAAGUUGCGGGCAAUAACAGGUCUGUGAUGCCCUUAGAUGUUCUGGGCUGCACACGGGCUACACUGCAAGAUACAACAAGCGUCGAUCACGCCUGACUGGAAGGUCCGGCCAAUCUUUGAAUAUCUUGCGUGAUUGGGAUAGACCAUUGCAAUUAUUGGUCUUCAACGAGGAAUUCCUAGUAAACGCGUGUCAACAACACGCAUUGAUUACGUCCCUGCCCUUUGUACACACCGCUC
rnacentral:rRNA from 1 species